AUUGAACGCUGGCGGCAGGCCUAACACAUGCAAGUCGAACGAGUGGCGGACGGGUGAGUAAUGUCUGGGAAACUGCCUUAUGUAGGGGGAUAACUACUGGAAACGGUAGCUAAUACCGCAUACCAUCGGAUGUGCCCAGGUGGGAUUAGCUAGUAGGUGGGGUAAAGGCUCACCUAGGCGACGAUCCCUAGCUGGUCUGAGAGGAUGACCAGCCACACUGGAACUGAGACACGGCCCAGACGCCUACGGGAGGCAGCAGUGGGGAAUAUGGCACAAGGGGGGCAAGCCGGACGCAGCCAUGCCGCGUGUAUGAAGAAGGCCUUCGGGUUGUAAAGUACUUUCAGUGGGGAGGCGUUAACCGCAGAAGAAGCACCGGCUAACUCCGUGCCAGCAGCCGCGGUAAUUC
rnacentral:rRNA from 1 species